rnacentral:lncRNA from 1 species
UUUCAUUAUAUAGCUAAAUUAUACCUUCUCUUGCUAAUAUUUCUUCCUGAAUACAUUAAAUGUGUGGUUCCCAAACCAUGUGCAGAGAUGCCCCAGGGUGCUGAGCAAACUCACCAGUGCACUGUAGGAUGUUUUAAAAUUUCAAGAGAAACACAGCGACAUCUGCUGGACUCUGUGCAAACUACUAGUUUGAGGCAAUUCAGUCUCAUUAGAUUGUCCUACAGUCCUUUCAAUAACAUCAUGUACUUUCAAAGCUGGGUUUUGGCUAUUCCCAUGACGAAAAUGAAAGUAUGAUGCAAAAAUCAACAUGCACAGGAAAUGAGGUUGGUGAUGAGAAAUCAGAUUCCAAGGCUUGACUAGAUGUGUAGAGCCCAACAGCAGCGCACACAGUAACAUGAAGUCAUUCUGGUUAUUAAAGAAUGAAUUGGGUCCCUCUCCCUCUCUCCCUCUCCCUCUCUCCCUCUCCCUCUCCCCACGGUCUCCCUCUCCCUCUCUUUCCAUGGUCUCCCUCUGAUGCCGAGCCGAAGCUGGACUGUACUGCUGCCAUCUCGGCUCACUGCAGCCUCCCUGCCUGAUUCUCCUGCCUCAGCCUGCCGAGUGCCUGCGAUUGCAGGCGCGCGCCGCCACGCCUGACUGGUUUUCGUAUUUUUUUGGUGGAGACGGGGUUUCGCUGUGUUGGCCGGGCUGGUCUCCAGCUCCUAACUGCGAGUGAUCCGCCAGCCUCGGCCUCCCGAGGUGCCGAGAUUGCAGACGGAGUCUGGUUCACUCAGUGCUCAAUGGUACCCAGGCUGGAGUGCAGUAGCGUGAUCUCGGCUCGCUACAACCUCCACCUCCCAGCCGCCUGCCUUGGCCUCCCAAAGUGCCGAGACUGCAGCCUCUGCCCAGCCGCCACCCCGUCUGGGAAGUGAGGAGCCCCUCUGCCUGGCUGCCCAGUCUGGAAAGUGAGGAGCGUCUCUGCCCGGCCGCCAUCUCAUCUAGAAGUGAGGAGCGCCUCUUCCCGGCCGCCGUCCCAUCUAGGAAGUGAGGAGCGUCUCUGCCCGGCCGCCCAUCGUCUGAGAUGUGGGGAGCGCCUCUGCCCCGCUGCCCCAUCUGGGAUGUGAGGAGCGCCUCUACCUGGCCGCGACCCUGUCUGGGAGGUGAGGAGCGUCUCUGCCCGGCCGCCCCGUCUGAGAAGAGAGGAGACCCUCCGCCUGGCAACCGCCCCGUCUGAGAAAUGCAGGCUUCCUCUUUAUGCGCAAAUGGAAAUGCUCUGAGCAGUACUUAUUCUACCUGAACAUAGAGGAAGGAAGCCUAGAUGGCUGGCAGAGGAGCACAGCCCCACGUGAAGAUUUCAGCACCUGUCCCUUCUCUGCCCGACGACAAUGGAAGAGCAGGCACCGUGAGAUCCUGGGCUAACCACCUCCUCCCCGCAGCACAACGCAACAUCCUAGCUCCUGGUCUGCGGUUCCCCACCACCCAGCGGAGACCUGAACUCAGUCUGAGGAAAGUCUGAUGCCGCCAUUUCUAACUUAAACAGUAUUUGCCCCACUUCUAGGUAAUAAACUUAUGGGCAGGGCUUUGACCCUAAUAAAAUAACACCUUAAUAAACAGAAUGAGGUGUUGCCUAUUUUAAUGCUAGUGAUUCUAUUUUUACUGCUCUAAACAGGAAAAAGAGGGAGAGAGGGAAAGGGACCAGGAGAAGAAGAGGAAAGAAGAGAGUAAUCAAAACAGGCUUUCCUAGUAUCCUCUUCCAGCUCCAAGAGUUCCCUUUAGUGUCCUCUGGCUCAAGUCAGGGACACUUCACACACUAACUGCUUCCAGUAGGUCAGGUUGUAUUAACAUUAAAAUCCUAUUAACACACCUUUUCUCAAAACACUUCACUUCCUAAAAUUAUUUGAAGUCAAAGAGAAAGAGAGGCUGGGAGCAGUGGCUCACGCCUGUAAAUCCCAACACUUUGGAAGUCCAGGGCAAGAGGAUCGCUUGAGCCUAAGAAUU